UACGUAGGGUGCGAGCGUUAAUCGGAAUUACUGGGCGUAAAGCGUGCGCAGGCGGUUUUGCAAGCCGGAUGUGAAAUCCCCGGGCUUAACCUGGGAAUGGCAUUUGGGACUGCAAGGCUGGAGUGCGGCAGAGGAGACUGGAAUUCCUGGUGUAGCAGUGAAAUGCGUAGAUAUCAGGAGGGACACCGAUGGCGAAGGCAGGUCUCUGGGCUGACACUGACGCUCAUGCACGAAAGCGUGGGGAGCAAACAGG
rnacentral:rRNA from 1 species